ACUUUCCUCUCUUCUCCAGCAUUAAAACUUUUUCUGCAGAGAGAAAAGAACGACUCUGUUUUUUGCCAGACUGGAGGAUGUUGGAGGGAGUCUGUUAAUCUCUCUGGACCUGACAUUUGAAAACCUCCACCUCUCCUCACCCUCCCAGCCCACUGAUACGGAUCUAAGACCCGACCGGCCUCUGGGGCGGUGUUUGGUGAAGUUAUCUCUGGAGGCUGCUGGAGGAUAAAUGUGGAGAUCUGCAGAUAGAAGCCAAGAAGAUGAACGGAGCUGGAGAGGAAGAAGACCUACAGUGGUGUUCAAAAUAAUAGCAGUCCCACAUCACUUUAUCAGGACCGUCAGUGUUGAUUUAACUUAUUUCUAAAACAGCGGCGGACUACUUCCAGCUGCGGAGGGACACCCUUUUCCAGCUAGCUGCAAUCUGACGCAGUGACGCAGCAGAGUGCAACUGACCAGGGCGGAGGGAUACGUCAUUCUGCUGGGAGAAGAGACACAGCGAGGAGGUAAGUUAUCUUCUGAAAGUGCUUUUGAGUUUUUGUUGAUAAAAUUUAAUAACAAUGGCAGUUUCUUCUGUGAUAAAAUGGAAUAAAAUCAGCACAUUGACAGAGCUUUGCGAA